rnacentral:rRNA from 1 species
UGAGCCAAGUUUAGGGUUUUCUCAAAACCCAAGCAGUAUUGAACUGAAGAGUUUGAUCAUGGCUCAGAUUGAACGCUGGCGGCAGGCCUAACACAUGCAAGUCGAGCGGAUGAAGGGGGCUUGCUCCUGGAUUCAGCGGCGGACGGGUGAGUAAUGCC